UGAACGCUGGCGGCAUGCCUUACACAUGCAAGUCGAACGGCAGCACGGGUGCUUGCACCUGGUGGCGAGUGGCGAACGGGUGAGUAAUACAUCGGAACAUGUCCUGUAGUGGGGGAUAGCCCGGCGAAAGCCGGAUUAAUACCGCAUACGAUCUACGGAUGAAAGCGGGGGACCUUCGGGCCUCGCGCUAUAGGGUUGGCCGAUGGCUGAUUAGCUAGUUGGUGGGGUAAAGGCCUACCAAGGCGACGAUCAGUAGCUGGUCUGAGAGGACGACCAGCCACACUGGGACUGAGACACGGCCCAGAGUCCUACGGGAGGCAGCAGUGGGGAAUUUUGGACAAUGGGCGAAAGCCUGAUCCAGCAAUGCCGCGUGUGUGAAGAAGGCCUUCGGGUUGUAAAGCACUUUUGUCCGGAAAGAAAUCCUUGGCUCUAAUACAGUCGGGGGAUGACGGUACCGGAAGAAUAAGCACCGGCUAACUACGUGCCAGCAGCCGCGGUAAUACGUAGGGUGCGAGCGUUAAUCGGAAUUACUGGGCGUAAAGCGUGCGCAGGCGGUUUGCUAAGACCGAUGUGAAAUCCCCGGGCUCAACCUGGGAACUGCAUUGGUGACUGGCAGGCUAGAGUAUGGCAGAGGGGGGUAGAAUUCCACGUGUAGCAGUGAAAUGCGUAGAGAUGUGGAGGAAUACCGAUGGCGAAGGCAGCCCCCUGGGCCAAUACUGACGCUCAUGCACGAAAGCGUGGGGAGCAAACAGGAUUAGAUACCCUGGUAGUCCACGCCCUAAACGAUGUCAACUAGUUGUUGGGGAUUCAUUUCCUUAGUAACGUAGCUAACGCGUGAAGUUGACCGCCUGGGGAGUACGGUCGCAAGAUUAAAACUCAAAGGAAUUGACGGGGACCCGCACAAGCGGUGGAUGAUGUGGAUUAAUUCGAUGCAACGCGAAAAACCUUACCUACCCUUGACAUGGUCGGAAUCCCGCUGAGAGGUGGGAGUGCUCGAAAGAGAACCGGCGCACAGGUGCUGCAUGGCUGUCGUCAGCUCGUGUCGUGAGAUGUUGGGUUAAGUCCCGCAACGAGCGCAACCCUUGUCCUUAGUUGCUACGCAAGAGCACUCUAAGGAGACUGCCGGUGACAAACCGGAGGAAGGUGGGGAUGACGUCAAGUCCUCAUGGCCCUUAUGGGUAGGGCUUCACACGUCAUACAAUGGUCGGAACAGAGGGUUGCCAACCCGCGAGGGGGAGCUAAUCCCAGAAAACCGAUCGUAGUCCGGAUUGCACUCUGCAACUCGAGUGCAUGAAGCUGGAAUCGCUAGUAAUCGCGGAUCAGCAUGCCGCGGUGAAUACGUUCCCGGGUCUUGUACACACCGCCCGUCA
rnacentral:rRNA from 1 species